CAGACGGCACAACCGGGGGGUGAUGCCGUGCAUGCCUGGCCCAGCCUCGCCGGCGGAGCCUCUCUCUCUGGAGUGAAGAUCAGCAGCUGGACUGACAAACGACUGGGAGAGGGGAGGGUAGUCCAUUUGUUCUACAAAGAAUUUGUUUUGUGGAUAUCCAGGCAGCCCAUCUUCUGACAGACUGAAGAGCAGGUAUUGCAGCUGGUGUCACUGAAAUAGGUGCAGCAGAAAGGAUCAUUACCAAGAAUGGAAACCAAAGUGAUUUGAUGCCUGGGCCUUCUUCCUUCAGUACUGCAGCUCAUUGGAAGAUCCAUGUUAGCAGCCCAGGUGAGUAAACUUUUCUUCAGCUCCACAAACCCACUGUUCACAGACUGUUGCCAAAAGGAGCUCAUCCGUAUGGUCCCAUAUCUGCCCUCAAUGCAGGGAGACAGGAACCAACAGAUCACACUGCAGACCCAACCAAGCAUCUCCUUCCCAGCAGGAGAAUUAACAGCCUAGGUCUAGGACUGAGUUCAAGGGGCAAACUCCCAGAAGGAGCUCUGCAGGACAUUGUCUCAGAGCAUCUGGGUGAGAUCACCCAGCAGGGCACCACACAAAGUCCUCCUGGGUGCACCUAAAAGGAGCUGGACGAACCACUGUAACCUCGAUGGGAAUCUCAAAGAAACCAGUGCUGGGGACAUUUAGUCAGACAGGGGGGUCUCUGCAAAACACCUCCUGACCCCAAAAUCUUCACCUCUGGAGGUUGUAUACUCCUCCUCCCCAAGCAAACAAAAUGCUGAAGAAAACUACUUUCCUCCUCUGCUAUUUUCCUUCUGUCCUUCAGGCUGGCACUGCUCAGCCUCCACAUUCAGGCAGCAUGCAUUUCCUCUCGAGCACAUUUAAGGAGCACAGACAUGAUCAUUUAAGUGCACGCUUUACUUAGCUAUCCUUAAGAACACAAAAUAGACCCAGAAAAAAAAGACGGUGUCUGUAUGCUCAUUAAAACGCUUUCAGCCCAGGGCAAGGAUUUGAUCAAAAGGAUUCCUGCCAAUGGAAGGGCAUGCUGGAGCCAUUGUAAGAAGUUAUGUGCGAGCGUCUGCCUUCCUUUCCUUUUCUUUCUUGUGCCCUGUCCCUUCCACUGCCACCUCCAAUCUCUUUUCUUCCAGCUGGGGGAACAGAAGAGAUUUUACUUCCUUGAUGACAAUUGUGUCCUUUGAGCAGCCAAAGCAAAAGGCACUUUGAGUUCAAAUGAGACUGUGACUUAAACCAAUAUUAGCCAAGACCAACACAUGUUUAUUGUAAUAUAAGUAACCUUCAUUCAGAUCAGCAGGUUUUCCUCACCCCACUGCAGUUUUACCCAUUGCCUUUCAUUCUUCCAAAAUGAAUAAAUGAAAUGGCUGCACAUUUUUAUUCACAGCAGUGGGUUUCAGAACUUCAAAUCAGAGAGGCGUUUUGAUUUUAGAAAUAAACUCCAGAGGAAACAGUUUCAGCCAGAACUUUCAUAUAUUUUUUUUACCAGUUUAAGGUAACAUCAAAACUCACCUUUCCAAAAAAAUGAAACCUCACAGCAUUCUUUUAAUCCAAAUUAAAUAAAGUGUCAUCCCUGUGUCCUCUUCCUUCAUAUUUAGAGGGAAAGAAAACUAUCCUGCCCAUACUUUAAUGGUUUUGUCUGCAAAUCCUAAAUGCUCUGCUGCUGCAAAUUUCAAAUGAUCUUAUACAGCCAAAGUCUCUUUGGUGUCAGCAGCUGCCCAGGUAGCAACACAACCACGAGAACGCUGCUGAUCAGAACAAUGAAUGCCUGAUCUACAGAUGUCAUAUCAAGGUAGAAAUCUUGAUGAGCAUUGUAGUGACAUUACAAAGUGGAUUACACAUGCUGUAUCUGGGUCAGAGAAGGAGUUAUUUCAGUAAGGUCAACAAAGUACUUCUAGCCAAACUUAUUUUUCAACAUUUUGAGGGAUAUGCUUUUGUUUGUUACCUCAUGUUGCACCUAAUAACAAUGCUCUCUCUGUUCUCCUGUAUCAGUCUGGAAGCAAAGUUAAAAAGAAGACAAAACACUCCCAUGCCUGGGGUCAUUCAAUUUCAGAGGUGGGUUCCAGCUCCCUGCUCUACUUUCCUUCAUGACUGGGGGCCCAGCUGCUGGUGGCCAGAGAAGCUUUUGAGCUACACCGUCAAAGUGUGUGUCCCAUGUGUCCCUCUCUCCCUGCCUACACUCUCCACCCAGUGAGAGGAUACAAUUAGGACUUUCUUGCUUUCCAGGUGUGUUGGUGUUUGUCAAGGAAACAAAUAUAGCAAGGUUGUAGGUCCUCAGAUGCUCCAGCCCACAGGCAGAAUAAGUACUAAAACACUUAUUUUUGGAUGCGCAGGUCCCUACCUGGCGAAGUGGUCACUGUUGAGCACAAAACACGCCUCACCUUCAACCAUCUUUCCCAGAGAUGGACAACAAGCCAAAAGCUAAGGUACCUACCAUUCCUUCAUGGCAGACAGGAGAUGAAGUUGCCUUACCCAGGGAAUGUGGCAUUUCUAAGCUGUUGGCUUACAAUACUGUGGGUGGGAGGACGUGAUACUUGUAAGAUUUUUUUUGUUGGCUGUACCAAUACCUUUUCUUGUCUUAAUUUUGAAAUGGAAUUUUUUUUUUCCCUCCCAGAAUUUGGGGCAAACCAAAUACCAAGUGUAGUUCUUGACAUUUGACAUCUUAUGUUUCCAAAUUCAAUAGGCUCCCUGGGAUGCUGGCAGCUGCAAACAAAAUUGGAACAACUGUCCAUGCCCUUCAGCCAUGCUGGGGUUCUCCAUGCCAGUAGCUCUGCAGCACCCACCACACACUGAACCUCCUGGCUCCUCAAAUCCCCUGCAGAGGACAGCCUGGGUCUUGUGCCUAGCUUGGUAUGGCUUGGGCAAGAUGCACAUGCUAAAAAUACGCUAUGAGAUUGUCAAGAGAGCGAUAGCCUUGCGUUGGAAAGAGAGACUCUUCAAGGCAGUACUUCAGCUCUAUUAGUCCUUACCCAACCCAAAAGCUAGGGGUGCAACUUAGGGAUGCACUAGCAAUCACACCUGAUAAUCCAAAAGACCUCCUUCCACCAUUAAGGGCUUAGAAAUUUUUUCCCAGCUUCAAGUCUUGACAGAAAUCUAUUUUAAUGCUCAAGUAUUACUCAGAGUGAACUCAGAUAAACUGACUUUUGUACAGGUCCUUUGCACCACAGUAGCCUGCCUAAAACUGCAGAGGCAGAUCUUAACUGAAGCAUUGAUGUCACCUCUGAACAGCUCAAACCUAAAAGGAGAUAUAUGCCUAUAUAGAUAUAUAUAUAUCAAGAGGGAAAAAAAUGUUCCAGUUAUCUGACCUAAUUAUAAACAUAAUCCAAUUGUGUUGUUUGUAUUUUUUAAGGAAAAAAAAGACCUAUUUCUACUCACUUAAAAAAGUGGAAAUCCUCAUACCACAAAUCCUCACAUUUCUGUAAGAGUCAAAAAUGGAAACCAGAUCUGUAACUGAAAGCUGUAAUUAUCAAGGCUAACCUUUCCUGACUGAGAAAUGCAGAAUUAAAAAAGCUAAAACAUCAAGUUAAGAAAAAACAUUCAAAAGCUUAAAUAAUUGAAAGCAAGCAAAAGUGUUUCUUUUUCCAGUUGCCAUCCUGCAUGUCAAAAAACCUGUGAAAUCCUUUGGGGGUAGUAAGAAGCCUAUGCUGUAUUUAUUUCUCCAUGAUGACAGUAUACUUUAUUCCAGAACAGUGGUACAUGUGUCAGACACAUCUGGCUCAACAAGGAUAUGAUCCAACACCCAAGGAGCACAACUAAGGUUAUCCCAUUGACUUCUGUAGGCAUUCCUCCAAGCUACUACCCUCUUGGUGCUGCCAUUACUUCCCUUAAUGGAUAAUUCUGAGCUCACAUCUGUGUUCUAAAACGUUGCUGGUGGUACAUAAAGAGUGAGUUUAUUUGCUUUUAUUAUGGUGUAUGGUUCACAUUCUAUCAAUGUAAUCCAAGGUUUAAGUUUGAUGUUAAAUAAUCGACCUGUUUAAGGAGGGAAACUAAGGGCACCCCCCAAUGUUUUAA